rnacentral:rRNA from 1 species
GACGAACGCUGGCGGCGUGCCUAAUACAUGCAAGUUGAGCGAUGAAGAUUGGUGCUUGCCCCAAUUUGAAGAGCAGCGAACGGGUGAGUAACGCGUGGGGAAUCUGCCUUUGAGCGGGGGACAACAUUUGGAAACGAAUGCUAAUACCGCAUAACAACUUUAAACAUAAGUUUUAAGUUUGAAAGAUGCAAUUGCAUCACUCAAAGAUGAUCCCGCGUUGUAUUAGCUAGUUGGUGAGGUAAAGGCUCACCAAGGCGAUGAUACAUAGCCGACCUGAGAGGGUGAUCGGCCACAUUGGGACUGAGACACGGCCCAAACUCCUACGGGAGGCAGCAGUAGGGAAUCUUCGGCAAUGGACGAAAGUCUGGCCGAGCAACGCCGCGUGAGUGAAGAAGGGUGUCGGAUCGUAAAACUCUGUUGGUAGAGAAGAACGUUGGUGAGAGUGGAAAGCUCAUCAAGUGACGGUAACUACACAGAAAGGGACGGCUAACUACGUG